CAACUACUACCUUUGUCCCAAAUUUCUUGUCUUAGAUUUGUCUAGAUACGGAUGUAUCUAAUACUAAAAUGUGACUUGAUACAUCCUUAUCUAGACAAAUCUAAGACAAGAAUUUUGGGACGGAGGGAGUACUUU
rnacentral:pre_miRNA from 1 species